GACGAACGCUGGCGGCGUGCUUAACACAUGCAAGUCGAACGGAAAGGCCCUGCUUUUGUGGGGUGCUCGAGUGGCGAACGGGUGAGUAACACGUGAGUAACCUGCCCUUGACUUUGGGAUAACUUCAGGAAACUGGGGCUAAUACCGGAUAGGAGCUCCUGCUGCAUGGUGGGGGUUGGAAAGUUUCGGCGGUUGGGGAUGGACUCGCGGCUUAUCAGUUUGUUGGUGGGGUAGUGGCUUACCAAGGCUUUGACGGGUAGCCGGCCUGAGAGGGUGACCGGCCACAUUGGGACUGAGAUACGGCCCAGACUCCUACGGGAGGCAGCAGUGGGGAAUAUUGCGCAAUGGGCGGAAGCCUGAUGCAGCAACGCCGCGUGCGGGAUGACGGCCUUCGGGUUGUAAACCGCUUUCGCCUGUGACGAAGCGUGAGUGACGGUAAUGGGUAAAGAAGCACCGGCUAACUACGUG
rnacentral:rRNA from 1 species